GAUCCUGGCUCAGGAUGAACGCUGGCGGCGUGCCUAAUACAUGCAAGUCGAGCGAACGGACGAGAAGCUUGCUUCUCUGAUGUUAGCGGCGGACGGGUGAGUAACACGUGGAUAACCUACCUAUAAGACUGGGAUAACUUCGGGAAACCGGAGCUAAUACCGGAUAAUAUUUUGAACCGCAUGGUUCAAAAGUGAAAGACGGUCUUGCUGUCACUUAUAGAUGGAUCCGCGCUGCAUUAGCUAGUUGGUAAGGUAACGGCUUACCAAGGCAACGAUGCAUAGCCGACCUGAGAGGGUGAUCGGCCACACUGGAACUGAGACACGGUCCAGACUCCUACGGGAGGCAGCAGUAGGGAAUCUUCCGCAAUGGGCGAAAGCCUGACGGAGCAACGCCGCGUGAGUGAUGAAGGUCUUCGGAUCGUAAAACUCUGUUAUUAGGGAA
rnacentral:rRNA from 1 species